CCGGAGCCGAGCGCGGACUGCCCGCCCCUCCUGCGGGGGAGGGGGUGCCGGGGCCGCCGUGCCGGGCCGGGGAGGAGCCCGCGGCGGCGCUCCCUCAGUAUCCUUACUGAGAUGGAAAUCUUAAUGAGGAAAAAUAGUCCAUUCCCAGUGGAGAUAAAUUUAAGAUCCUGUCAUGCAUCAGUGGUGGCCUUUCUAAGCUGGGUUACGGAGCUGGAUUGUUGAGCUUUCCUAAACAAGUUGAUCUUAAUAUCUCAGAGCGUUGAGUGGAAGAUGAAAGGAGUAGAAUUUGUUCCAUCUGUGACCUGCGUAGGUAUGUCUUGUGCUUUUCCAGCUCUGCGUCUAAUGUCGGUGAAUGUAGAAUUUUGAGCUAUACUGCAAAUUAUUCUCUCAUCUGUUCAAUCACUUCUAGCAGCAGCUAUCAUUCCUGCGGACGUAGCCUACGUUAUGUUCCUUUUGUCUCCAUGCAUUUAGGAGGCACUGUUAAAAACAGAGUGGAUCUCUCUACAAAAUGAAAUGGCUUUGAUGUUCUCAUCUCUCCGGUUUACCUGAAAUAACCAGAAUGCCAAAAUACUCAGCACUGCCACUGACUUUCUCACAGAUCUGCCCUCCAGGAUCAGUUCUGAGCAACAUUUUCAGAUUUCUAUCAGAUUUUAUAUUUGAUAUCACUUUUUUCUGAUUUUUUUUUAAUCAGUUCUUAUUUAACAGAUGCCGUCAAGCGCUUUAGAAAGUUUGAAAAGUUGAGAUUAGGAGCAUUGACAGAGAUUCUCUUUACAACACAGAUGACUGCAGUUAUGGAGAGACUUAGGCCUGGUCUGUGCAGUUUAUGUCCAAUACAAACAUUCCCAGGUGGCUGCAAUCAAACAUCUAACCAGCCGAUGUCAUUCUGACCAUGCACAUGGAGUUGCUUGGGAUAUCACUCCAACGGUAUAUCAUGUUUGCACAAGGGGAUAAACUCGUAUGAUCUUGCUAUGGCAUCCAUGCUGAUGGGGGAUUAACCAUUCAGAAAAACAAAUGUUGUAAUGGUACAGAAUGCUCUCUGCAAAUGGCACCUGACUGCUCUUCCACAGCGAAGAGAAAAAAGGAUUGGUGCAGCCUCCUAACUGCACAACUUUCCCCCUUUCUGCCACAUCCCAUUCUCUGCAGGCUGCAGUAUCUCUUCACCAGCACUGUCCCACCACACAGGACAGGUGGGCAGCAGAAGGCAGGGCUCCUCUCUGCAGGGUGGGCAGGUGGGCAGCAGAAGGCUCCUCUCUGCAGGGCAGCCCUCUGCAAAGGCAAACUUUGCUUUCCAGGAUUUGAAUUGUCUUUCAGAGACUGCUGCCACUUGUUUUGCCACAAUUAAUGGGGGAAAUUUUAACUCUUCCAUAAAACACCCAGAAUUGCUUUUUUAAAUAGAAUCUACCCAAUGCUAGAGAAAGAAAGAUGGCCUCCAUUUUAAGAUUGUCUCAACGCUUUCAGUUCAUACAAAAAUUUUCACACAGUAUUUCAGGUGCUCAGUUUUCUAGCAGCAGAAUGUUAUCUGCUAAGGGUGUCCUAUGUGCCUUUCCACAAAAAACAACAAAAUAGGAAAAAAGCAAGUAGUAAAACAGAAAAAACGGAAAUGUAGAACAAAACAAAAAUGAAAGACUGGUGAUCAGAAAGUGAUGUGAACAGGACAGCAAAAGCAUGGAAAAGACAAAGGGGAAAAUGCCGUUUUCCUCUCUGAAGUACAUUAAAACUUACGGGACUCAUUCAAAAAGAGAACAAGAGUGAUUGCGCGCUCAAAGGCUGGAUUUAAAAUUAGUAAUGGAGUAACUUAGAAUUUAGAACUCUAGAUUCAGCUGGGAAGGCACCAAGGCACCACAGCUCCUAACAGAGGUUAACAACUAAAACACGUACUUACAUGGCUGAGUCUCACGUGGUCAGACCAUGUUAGAAAGUUCUCUGUAGAAGCACUGCCACAUCAGAAAACUCACCAGUAAAACCACACUGACAAGCAUAAACUAGAACUUAAUCACUGCACAGGAACAGGCAGAACUAGGAGUUGGAAACAAGGCCGCACACAGCAGCCACACUGCGCGGCAAACGCCACCUCACUGACAUACAUGGCAUCUGUUUGCCUUUUUCGCUGUGUGCUUUUGCAGGGAUAUUUUCCUUAGAGUAGAGUUAAAGAAAACAGAUUUGAAGUCUGCUUGUUUUGUGGGGCUUUUGGCUUAAGCAGUUAUGAAUUAGACGUGAAGACUUCACUGCUGCCUUAGUAUGAUUUGAAAACUGUGUACUUCCAUUUUCUUUCAUUCACACUUGCAAGAAGAAAAACUGUCCACGUUUUCAAUUCAAGCUUAAGCCAUGGACGUUGUUUUUCCACAAAACACGCACAGGUGCACCAGUUAAUUCACAGUAACUCAGCACCAUGAACUGCAGUACACAGGAGCGUAGAUGUUACAAGCGUGUCUUAGGGACAGCAAAGGAAAGGCUCAAGACGCAGCAGCAGGGCGGUGCUUAUGGGGAGCGGCCUCUGCUC